rnacentral:lncRNA from 10 species
GGACUCCUGCUUUGGGGAAGGUCAGGACCUCUCUGAGCGUCACUUAAGGGCCUCCCCUUGGCUCCCUGGCACUCCUCCCCACCCGGCACCCCACCCCUAACUUGGUGCCCAGAGUUCUAAGGGUAAAAGGUCGUCAUAGAUGAGAACAGCAACACCAUCUGUUCACUCUGUGUUCUCUGUGCCCAGUGUUGUGUGAAACUUUCUAUCCAAUAUCUUGCAAAAUCCUUACAGCAACCCUAUAAGGGUUGGGUCGGGGCCUUCCAAUCUCUAUAGGUUUUACUGCUUCCAAAGACCUGGCAUACUCCUGGUUUGUGAUGAUCAAGUUCUGGGUCAGAGCAGGGAGAAGCAGCCCAUGAGGCCGGUGAAAUGGUGCCCAAUGGAGGGGAAGGCCCUGGCUUGUGAUCUUGGGCAAGUCCCUCCUCAUACCCAGCUUCAGCUUCUCCUCUAUAAAAUGGCUCUAGGAUGCAGCAGUGAACAAAACAGACGAGUCUACAGAGUUGACAUGACAUGCAGGGGCCAUGGAGAAGGCGAGAACUGUGGAAACGUCGUUGUUGAGUAUGUCAAAUGGUGAUGUGUGCUGUAAAGAAGGAGUGAAGCUGGACUCAGAGCGGACAGGAAGACAGGGGUAGGGGUAGGUCUGGGCUUUUGUACAGGGUGAUCUGAGAAGGCCACUUUGACAAGGUGAUAUGUAAAGUGAGGACACAAGCCCUGUGACUAUGUGGGCACAACUCUCCUAGGAAAAGGGAGCAGCAAAGUGCAUGGACCCCAAAGCAGGAAUGAAUAUGCUCAGUGCGUCCAAGGAAGAGCCGGGACCAGCAGAGCUCAAGUGGAGUGAGCGUGGGGAAAGAGCGGACCCGGUCAGAGGGGUGCUGGGGACCAGACAACGUCACGCGUCAUGGCCAUCGCUAAGGAUUUGGGGUUUUACUUUGCAUGAGAUGAAAAGCCACAGGAGGGUUUUGAAUAGAGGAGUAGAAUGAUUUGACUUGAGUUUUUAAAAGGUUUACUCCAGCUGCUUGGUGGAGAGUGGAUGGUGCAGGUGAGGGCAGAGGCAGGGAAACCAGUUAGGAGGCUGCUGCAGCGACGUGGGAGAGGACUGUGGGUGGUUUGGGCCAUAUUAGAAGCAGUGGUAAGAAACACUGAGCUCUGGAUGUGUUCUGAAGGUAUGCCAACGUGAUUUACUAACCGAUCCAUGAAGGGCAUGAGAGGAAGAGAGCAAUCAAAAAUGACCCCCAGGGUUUUUGUCUGAGCAUCUGGAGUUGCCCUUAUUUGAGAGUUAGAAGACCAAGAGGGCCGGGUGUAGUGGCUCACGUCUGUAAUCCCGGCACUUUGGGAGGCCGAGGCAGGUGGAUCACUUGAGGUCAAGAGUUGGAGACCAGCCUGGCCAACGUGGUGAAACCCCGUCUCUACUAAAAAUACAAAAAAUAGCCAGGCAUGGUGGUGGGCAUCUGUAGUCCCAGCUACUCAGGAGGCUGAGGCAGGAGAAUCGCUUGAACCCGGCAGGCGGAGGUUGCAGCAAGCCAAGAUCGUGCCACUGCACUCCAGCCUGGGUGGCAGAGCAAGACUCCGUCUCAAAACAAAACAAAACAAAAAACAAGAGGAACACAUUAGGUGGAUAGGAGAUGUCGUUUGGGUGCAGCCAGGCUGGGUGGCUCACACUUGUAAUCCCAGCACUUUGGGAGGCCCAGGUGGGAGGACUGUUUGAGCCCAGGAGUUGGAGACCAGCCCGGCUAACAUAGCGAGACUCCAUCCCUACAGAAAAAUUAAAAAAUUAGCCGGGCAUGGCGGCAUGUGCCUGUAGUCCCAGCGACUUGGGUGGGGGGCUGAGUUCAGGAGGUUUUGGCUGCAGUGAGCUGUGAUCACACCGCUGCACUCCAGCCUGGGCAUUAGAGCAAGACCUUGUCUUAAAAAAAAAACAACGAAAGUUUGAAUUGCCCAUUAGACAUCCAAGUAGAAAGGUCGAGUUUUAAGUUGGGUAUAGAAGUCUGGAGUUUGGGGUAAAGGUCUGGGCUGGAGAUCUAGCUUUAGGAGUCCUUCAGUCCUAGAGAGAGGGUGAAGUCAGGAAGGAAUGACAGAGGAAGCACCCAGGCCUGGACCUUGGGACCCUCCAAUGUUCACGGGCAGAGAGAAGUGGGGAGCGGCCAGUGAGGCAGGGGAGACCCCCUGGAGUGAGUGUCAAGAGGAUGGAGGGAGCUACUCUGUCAAAGACUGCUGCUCAUGGGCCAAGUAAAAUGAGGUCUGAGAACAGCCCAUUGCAUUUGGCAGCUGGAGGUCCUUCAAGGUCUUGACGUGAGCUGUUUCGGUGGAGCCAGGUAAUAAAAGUUAGUGGGUAGGAGUUAAAGCAAGAAAUUUCUUUGACUUUUGUCACCUGGCUCCACUGAAACAGCUCACGUCAAACCUCUGAGGAAGGGAAUUGGAGACAGUAACUGGAACACUCUUAAAGUUCUUUAGGCUGGGGACAGUGGCUCACGUCUGUGAUCCCAACACUUUGGGAGGCCGAGGUGGGUGGAUUGCUUGAGUCCAGGAGUUUGAGACCACUCUGGACAAUAUGGCAAAACUCAAUUUCUACUGAAAAUACAAAAAAUUAGCCAGGUGUGGUGGCCUGUGCCUGUGGUCCCACCUACUGGGGAGUCGGAGGUGGACGGAUCACCUGAGCCUGGGAGGUGGAGGCUGCAGUGAGUCCUGAUUGCAUCACUAUACUCCAGCCUAGGAAACCAGAGUGAGGCCCUGUCUCAGGGGAAAAAAAAAAAAAAGAAUUAUCCAGCCUGGGCAACAAAGUGAGACCCUGUCUCUACAAAAAAAUAAAAAUAAAAAAAUUAACUAGGUGUGGUGAUGGACACCUGUGGAUCCAGCUACUUGGGAAGCUGAGGUGGAAGGAUCACUUGAGCCUGUGAGGUCGAGGCUGCGAUGAGCUGUGAUUAUGCCACUGCACUAUAGCCUGAGUGAGAGUGAAAUCUUGUCUCAAAAAAAAAAAAAACAGUUUUGUCUACAGGUGAGCAGAGCAGGGAGCAAUGGCUAAAGCAGGAUGAGAGAUAAAGGAAGAGAACUAGGUUGUUGUUCUGCUUCCCAUCUUGUUAUUCCAGGUCAGACAUGGUGAGGUUCACCAAGGCAAAUCCAAUAGUGGGAGUUGGAAUGUGGGCAAGGAAGUUCUGUCAUGAUCAACUGUGAAUCUACAUUGGCUAAGGAGUGAAAUGAGGCAAUUAAGGGGCUAAUGAUUCAUGAAGAGGUGGUUGGGUCAUAGAUUCUAAGUCUCAGCUGGUAGAAGGAUUAUUGAAGUCUGGAUAAGAGAAAGAGUGAGCUGGAAACCCAGGGCACAGUGGUUGGAGAGUGGGACAUAGAAACUGAGAUGACUAGGCUGGGCGUGGUGGCUCACGCCUGUAGUCCCAGCUACUCAGGAGGCUGAGGCAGGAGAAUGGUGUGAACCCGGGAGGCGGAGCUUGCAGUGGGCCAAGAUCGCGCCACUGCACUCCAGCCUGGACGACAGAGCAAGACUCCUUCUCAAAAAAAAAAAAAAAAAUAAGAAACCAAGAUGACAGACAACUGCAGCCAGAGAAAAUGACAGUUCUAGGGUGCGACCGUGGGAGUGAGAGGUUAGGGUGGAGGUGACCAGGUGGACAGUAGGACACAGAACUGAGAGGUACACAAGGAUCUUCUGUGUGGAUAUUGAAAUCAGUGUGAGAUAAAUACAGUGCUGGAGAGACUGAGAAUGAACUCAAAGUCCUCAAGGAUCGAGAUGAGAAGUGACCUGGGGUCAGCAGGUACCUUCAAGAAGGAGGCGGUCGGCUGGGCACGGUGGCUCACGCCUGUAAUCCCAGCACUUUGGAGGCCGAGGCGGGCAGAUCACCUGAAGUAGGAGUUCGAGACCAGCCUGGCCAACAUGGUGAAACCCCAUCUCUACUAAAAAUACAAAAAUUAGCCAGGCGUGGUGGCGGGUGCCUGUAAUCCCAGCUACUCAGGAGGCUGAGGCAGGAGAAUUGCUUGAACCCAGGAGGCAGAGGUUGCAGUGAGCCAAGAUUGCGCCACUGCACUCCAGCCUGGGGGACAAGAGUGAGACUUGGUCUCAGAAAAAAAAAAAAGAAGGACAGGGUCAGUGGUAUAGUUUGAUGAGAUUCGAAGGGAGAUUCAACCCAGUGGUUGUUUAGGAAGGAAAGAGCAAAUGGUUUGGAAUCAGCAAUCAGUACUGAAGAGGUUAUUGACCCCACCCUAGGGCUGAGGUAUGAGGGCAGGAGGGAGAACAGCUACCACUUGAACACCCGAGCUCAGGUGAUCCACCCACCUUAGCCUCCCAGGUAGCUGGGACCACAGUCUGGAAAGGGGAUGUUAACAGCUUCACUAGGACACUUUUUGAGUCUUGAACUCAGUUUCUCAGAUUACAUAAUUUCACUUCCUCCUAACUUGUUUGAGAGGCACCACUUUCUGAACCUGCAUCUGAUGCUGACAUUGGGAAUUAUAACCCAAACCACAAUUACCCAUUCAAAUAACAUUUGGACAGUUUUCCUCCCAUUUACCCAGGAGAUAUAUAUUUAUAAUCUUCAAGUUGCAUUUUAAAAUGAUUUUAAAAAGCCUUAUUUACAAAAACAUGCAACUCUUUUCAUUGUGAGGUCAUAUCCCUAGGGAGACUUACUAAAUCUGUGUUCAAAUUUCUUUGCCGAUUUUUUCACCACUGUCAUCAGGUGACCUUUAUAAACAUACAAACUAGCAUUGACUGAGGUCAUUUCAGGUGACGGCAUCUCAGACAGCUGUCAUUACUUAAAAAGAUGAAUUAAAAAAAGUGGAGGGAGGAAAGGUGAAAGAGAAAUGCAGAAAGAGAAAAAAGAAAAUAAAAGAGAGGAAAAGAGAAAGAGGAAAGAAUGAGAAAGAGAAGGAAGGAAAGAAGGAAGAGGAAAGAGGGGAAGGAAGGAAAAAAGGAAGGAAGAGGAAAUAGGGGAAGGAAGGAAGGGAGGAAAGAAGAAAGGAAGGGAAGAAUAGAGGGAGGAAGUGAGGGAGGGAGAGAGGAGACUAAGGUUUCUAAUAUAAGACUACAUGGAAUUAGUCUUUUCUGAGGGAUAAUUUUCAGAAAAAUAAACAAACAAAAAACCCUUGGCUCAUAUUCAGUCAUCUCUGGUGCCAUCUUUUCAGUCAUAGUGUCUAGAACAGUGCCAAUGAAUGUUUCUGGAAUGAAUUAACUGAUUGCUAUUGUCUUCUAGCCCUAACAAAGAUUUCUCCAUGACCCUUAGAUCCUUGGACCCCUGGUCCUAAGAGAAACAUCACCCACCUCAUGCCCCCAUGCCUGGCUUUUGCUUGGCUACUAAGCUCCAUCUUGCUUCUUUUUUCUUCCAACAUGUGUAUUCAGAAGCUCUUGGCUUUUAUUAAAUGCAACUCUGCUGCUAAUACAUUACAGAAUUUAAUCUUGUGCCAGCCACACCCUGGCACUGAACCCAGCUGGGCAGGGGGCCAGAUUUGAAGUGAGGUUCUCCCUGCCAGUGAUUAAGUUUGGUUAAGAGGUGAGAUAGUCACUGCCAGAUGCAAAAACUCCAGGAGGCAUUUCCAGCUGCAUGUAGAACUCUGUAGUUUCUGCCUCUGGUGAUGGAGUUUGGGGGUCAUCUGAAUGGGGAGUGAUGAGAGGUAGGAGCUGAAAUAGAAAGAUGCGGCCGGGCACGGUGGCUCACGCCUGUAAUCCCAGCACUUUGGGAGGCCGAGAUAGGCGGAUCACGAGGUCAGGAGGUUGAGACCAGCCUGACCAACAUGGUGAAACCCCGUCUCUACUACAAAUACAAAAAUUAGCCAGCCAUGGUGGUGUGCGCAUGUAAUCCCAGCUACUCGGGAGGCUGAGGCAGGAGAAUCACUUGAACCUAGGAGGCGGAGGUUGCGGUGAGCCAAGAUCAUGCCACUGCACUCCAGCCUGGGUGACAGAGUGAGACUCCAUCUCGGAAAAAAAAGAAAAGAAAAAGAAAGAAAGAAAAAAGAAAGAUGCAAAUAAAACAGAGGUGAGGACAGCAGCGGGUGAGGAGUGGGUCUUCGAUGUUGGUAGAAACUUCUCUAAUCUUUUACACCUCUAACUCUAUCUCCCUCCUGAAAGCCCUCAUCUGGCCUGGAAUUGGCUUUGAGGGUUGUACCACUAUGCAUUUUGAUAACACAUGAUGAGUUUUUAGAUCAAAGCACACUAGGGUAGUUGUUGUUGAAUACAUGCAUGGCUAAUUCUAUAGCCUCCUGUGGGGUCAGGUUACCCCCAAGCCCUGUGCCUCAGCCAUGGGACACAUGGCGAUGGUUGUGGAUGGAUCCUCAUGCACCAUUCCCUUAGCUCUUGUGUUCGUAAUAGAAUCCUUAUUUGAGAACCUGGGUCCCUAUCAGUACAAGUAAAAGGAAAAGAAGAAACACCCAGAGUGAGAUUCUUCAGGUAGCUUUGAGGAUGCCCAAGGUGAAACAUUAAUCAAUCAAUAACAACAUGAUGGAGAGGCAGGUGUUCCCUCUUCUGUACCCCCUUUCCUGGAGUGUGGGAACUACUGAGGCUCUCACAAUGCAACUCAAGGCUAGGGAGGAGAUAGAUACCAUUUUGUUUUUGUUUUGGUUUUGAGACGGAGUCUCACUCUGUCGCUCAGGCUAGAGAGCAGUGGCAUGAUCUCGGCUCACGGCAACCUCCGCCUCCCAGGUUCAGGCAAUUCUCCUGCCUCAGCCUCCCAAGUAGCUGGGACUACUGGUGCCUGGCCACCAUGCCCGGCUAAUUUUUGUAG